rnacentral:misc_RNA from 1 species
GAUGAAGAACGUAGUGAAAUGCGAUAAGUAAUGUGAAUUGCAGAAUUCAGUGAAUCAUCGAAUCUUUGAACGCACAUUGCGCCCGCCAGUAUUCUGGCGGGCAUGCCUGUUCGAGCGUCAUUUCAACCAUCAAGCCCCAGGCUUGUGUUGGGGACCUGCGGCUGCCGCAGGCCCUGAAAACCAGUGGCGGGCUCGCUGUCACACCGGGCGUAGUAGCACAUCUCGCUCAGGGCGUGCGGCGGGCUCCAGCCGUUAAAGCACCCACCUUUCGCAAGGUUGACCUCGGAUCAGGUAGGAAUACCCGCUGAACUUAAGCAUAUCAAUAAGCGGAGGA